rnacentral:misc_RNA from 1 species
CCCACCGAGGCCUCUGCAGCACAGGUUGUGUCACAGCCCUAACAUCGUCUUCGGUAUCCCUGUCACUGCUAGUUGGUGGUACAUUCGAUUCGUCACUUUCAGGCGGCCCAGGCUCACACUUAAUCUUAAACACCGUAUUCAUAGAAACAUCUUCGAAUUCGGCACACGAAAUGGGGUGGGUCAAAGUCCUUUGUAUGUUGCUUUUCUUGUGUCUCACUUUCACUGACCCCUCGGAUAAUGAUCUUUUACCGUUCAAUUUGUUUUCGCUUUUCGUGUCCCCUUGAGCAAAUUUCAAGUCUGACGGUGAUAAAGAUUUUUUUCUAGAGUUUCGUCUUUUCAUACUCCGCUUCGGUCGACAUGAAUCUCUUUGAGCCUGCAUUGUUGCCGCAUUUGCGCGAUCUGAAAUUUUCAUUACUAUACCGGGAAAUGAUGACGAAGUCCAAGACAACAAAAACUUAGUAAAUAAACAUGUUAUUGGAACAAAAACAGUCAAUUUUAAAACAAGGCAAUGCACUUUAAAACUUACUCAUUUUAAAAGACACCGUAUAAAAAGAACUAGUCCACCUCAGCUUAACUAUUUUGACUACUUUUAUUCGUUAAAUUAAAAUAAUUCAAUAAAAUAGUGACGUUCGUUCGAUCGUUUCGUGUCGUUCAACCGGUAAGACAAGGUACAAGCACGAUACCUG